UUUUUUUUUGCCAUCAUGUGUAAAAGCCUGGACACAUCACUGAUAGUUAUGCUCAGUUGUCAGGACCAACUGCAGAUUCCGGGAAAUUAAACAUUUGACAUUAAAGAGUAUGUUUUAGCUGUAAGUUUUGUCUUGGAAACGUGUAAAUUCAAUGGUUUAUAAAAGGAUGUCACAGGCUUUGAAUUUAUAACAGAGGUCCAGAGAAUUACAUCACUUGCUUCUCUUAAUGAACACUUCCUGCUGCACUCUCACCAAAAUCCAUUGCUUAAUAGGACUUUUAUCACUUUAUAAACAUUGGAAAGAGGUCAUGGGUGGUUAUAGUGGGAAAGGAUGGAUCAGGCUCAGGGGAUGAAGAGUUCAGUAGCUGAGAGACCUCAUUAUCCACAGAGUACUCUUGUGUGCUAGGCUUUGUUUCUUAUUUCUGUUCGGUAUUAAAAAUUUUAAGCUGUUUCCCAAGGUCUAUGCCGUUCAGACUGGAUUUUGACUGUUUUUAUUAGAAAACUGACUCCAGUGUAUUUCCCAACAGGCCUGUUCUCAUCGCACUGACAGAAUUUGGCACUCUGUAUGGGCCAGGCUCAGAGUAAUCUCAGCUGUAUGGGUUCAUUCUUUCUCUAUUUCAUUUCCCAACUUUUGUAUUUAGACUUGUUUUUGUUUCAGAUAUUAUUUAAAAGUCACGUUAAGAGGUCGUGUGCCGCUGUGCGAAGAUUGUGUGGCGUUUAAACGCGCUGGUAGUGCAGAGGUUAAUUUUCAACUGAGUGGGCGGGGACGCGCGCAAAGCGGCACGUGCGCGCGCGCGCAGAUACGCGGAUGGAGCGGAGCGGGAAGCGCGCGCCAGGGCUCUAGCACACAGCGCGAGGGCUAUGGAGGAGCCGUUCCGCUGCGUUCGUCAACCACGCCUGAGCUCACGUUUCUAAAGUGUAACCUGAGGGGAAGGAGGGUGACUGCAGAAGUGGAGGCGAACCACAGGCAACAUCACUGCUCUAUUUUGCAGUUUCUGUGUCAUGGCCUUGGAUUGUCAGAAGGGAGAAUCACACAGGGUGACCCUUCAGAUCAGGAUUUGAUACGGUGCCUGUAAAUAACAUCCCUGAUGUCCCAAACAGACAUUUAAUGGGCUGCUGAAACGAAGAACCGGAUAGCGUGGAUGAGUCAGGGGUUACGGCCCCAGUGAGUUUGGACAUCCUCCUGGCCAAGAGUGACCUUUCCCAGGAUCUGCUGAGGAGCUGGCCUUGCUCGUCUGUCUGGACACAGCAUCUUCAUUCAUCAGAACGCUGGAUUCCUAUAAAGAGUGAGCUCAUCCUGUCUGCAGCUGUUUACCACAUCAUAGACUUAUGCUCGUUUUUCACCAUGAUUUAAUGUUUGAUGGCUUGAUUUAGCAAACAUUUCACUAGUUCUCUGCUUAUUAUUAAUGGUUAUUAACCGAUACCUAAAGAGCACCUUGACAUUCAUAGCACAAUAGCAACGAUCAUGAUCAAGUGUUAAACCUAACAGGCCUCAGCAGUGUAUAUUUGGCAUUUACUAAGAUUCUAAAGAAUGUGCACUAAUUUGCAUGUACAGUGGGAUAAAUUGCAUGCAUGGGUGUCUUGCAGGUGAUUUACAAAAAAUAAUCAGUAGAGUAGUCUUUAAAGGGUUACGAGCAUUGAGUCAAACAUCCGAAUGUCUAAUAUGAAACUUUGCCACAGUAAAAUUGUCAUCAAUGUUCAUAAGAGAUGUUUUAAUCAUUUUUGAGAUACUUAGGAAUAACCUUCACAUUAACAAAACCCAGUGAACGAUUGCAUAUUCAAGGCAUCAAGGCAAACCCCUAAACGGACAACACAUGCUAUUUUGAAAAUACAUUUGAAAAACACAGUCCUUUGUAGAACCAGUUAGUAAUCAGCUUGCACGUUUUUGCAGGUGUUAUCAUGCUUGCACAUGUUUUUACACACACAAACCUUCAGUAAAUUAGGGCCUCUGAGUUCAAUUGCAUGAGGUCAAGUGCAAGUGAAUUUCUCCUAUAUAGUGAUAAAUGAUUGCGGUUGAGUAUGGGAAGCCCUUAGACAUCGGAUGUGAACAAAUAAGCAGAAAGUUCAACAUUUUGUACUGUUUUUUUUUUAUGGCUGCUUGUUGGCUUUUACUACUCAAUAACUCUCUUUUUGUUUAUCUAUUUAGAUCUUGUUAUGAUUUUCUCCUCUUCCAAGGGAAAAGAAAUUACAAUAACGGCCUGUGUAUUCUGUUUCUCUCUCUUUCUUUAAUUCUCUGUCUCUCUCUCUUUAUCUCUGCGAGUCAUAGAGCAUAUGCGAAGUAUGCUUCAUGGAGCAUAUGUUGUGUAUGCGCAGGUUGGCAACACAUGUGUAGUGCAGCUUUGGACCUUAGCAGGAUUAAGUGUGUCUGUCUGCAUCCUGCAUAGAUUACUCCAUGGCAAAAAGCAGUCUCUGAUCUUUUUCUGAAUUUCCAACACAUUUUCUGACUACUAUUUUAGAUUAGAAGUUUUUGUUCCACAGAGCUGUGCUGUCUCAACUUUUUCCAUCCUGGAUUGCCAGGUUGUGUGCAAUUAGUCUUCUAAGGUCCCCUACCAUGCUUUUUGGAGAAAUGAUACAGCAGUGCAUCAAGAUUGGUCUAAUAAAUUCCUUGUGUAUCAGUAAGCACGAACACAUCACAUGCAUAGGUGGGAAGACUAGUAAACAUCAUAAAAAUAUUAUAAGCCUGUAAUAAAAACAUUCUCCCUGUGUCUGUCUGGGUUUUCUCCAGGUACUCCGAAGGUUCACUCCCUAAAACAUGCCUGUAGGUGGAUUGGCUGCUGUAAAUUGCUCCUUAUUCCAGUUCCGAUUACAUGCCUUUGACUCUUAGGACUCUGGUUAGGACAGUGUUGCUUACUGAAGCACAGAGAGAAAUAUAGGGUGUGUAGUGCGUCAUUCGCUACCAGGAACUUUUUUGCACACAACCAGCUGUUGACCUCUGGUAGUCCUACAGCAGACAGUUUCAUACUGUAACUCAGUGUCAUCUGUGGUAUUGCCUGGCAUUGUGGGUGUUGCAUUAAGAGGACCUGUUUAACUUUUCUGUACUGAUUUAUACAUAGGUAUAUGGUCCCUCAUGUUGUGCUUAAUCUUCACUUUUAUUUAAUCUCUUUUCUCUUUGUUUCCUUUUUAGAGUAUCACCUGUCAUGCACACUACUGUAUAGUGUGUGCACUAGAGUAAGCAGAGUAAGCACACUGGGGAACUGCUUGGGACCUGGAGAGGCCAGAAGAUGGACUGGCUUCUCACGGGCUGCCUGACCCACAGUGUGAUAAUUUUAGACUCUAACGUCUCACAUGGUCUGGAGCAAAGAUGGCAUUUUGAAAUAAACUUGGAAUUUAGCUUAAUUGCAGUUUACAGAUUUAGGAGGGGCCGACUUUUCGGCUUUAUUUUCUUGCAUAAAUAGAGUGUGAGUGCAGGCCAGAGACAUGAGGUUUAGAAGCCACAAAAAAGUUUCAAAAGCGUCAGAGGCCGAGAGGACACUCUGAGCUGCACAGUUUUUUUUCCUCUACUGACUGCCGUCUUUGUCUUUUUUUGAUAGUGUACAAACUCCAUCACAUUAGUUGAUUGUUUAUUUGAUAGCAGAAAAUGAUAUUAAAUAGCUCUUAGCCUUAAGUGCAUGAUUUGUAAACCUUUUAAAGAAUAUUAAACAGACUACCUCAUGUGUUUUUAAGAAAAAUUCCAUGACACAUUCUUUUAUGCUGUAUAUAUUAGAGAAGGUCACUGAAUGUAAUAUUUUAUGAAUACCUCAGGGCAUGCUUAGCUCAUUAGCAGUGUCUGUUUUAUUAUUGCUAUGAUUCUGUUCCAGUAACUCUUGAUAAUAAAAUCAGUGAUAGAUACACAUUUCAGGCAAUAGUUCUAAUACUGUAUUGUAUAGCUGUAAUGAGCCUAAUUUAUAAGAAUUAUCACAACCUCUGAGAAAUAUUAAAUAUUAUGAGCAUUUUUUUAAGCCAGGAAACACUUCAAGGGAGCGUGUAGGAAGACAUGACCAUGCUGAAUUGCCAGUUAGUCCCAUUAAUAAUAAACAGACUGGCUCAGCUUUUAGAGGUAGUGCAACUGUGUAUUAAUAAGCCACACACUGUUGGGGACCUUGUUUCUUCAGUAAUAUAUCAAGGCUAGUUAGACAGUAAGAUUUUGUCACAGUCUUUUCAUUGAAAAACACACAUCAAAGCAGUACUUUAACUUCAAACCUAAGAAAACAUGCUUUCUACUGGGGACUUCGUUUGACGAACAGGAUGAAAUACAUGGGAGUUGGGAAGUCAGGGCAGGGAGUGAUUAGUGGAUAUUUAGACUGCAAUCAUUGUUAUAUUAUGCUGAGAACAUGGAGUACAAAGUCUUAUAGAUGUAAGCAUAGGCUUGAUCGGUGUAUCGCUGCAGUGGUCUUGUGGUCUCGUGGUCUUGGAUCAUGUGUGUGUUUUGGUGGGAUGUGAUCUGUUGUGACUGUUCAAAAACAAAUGCUUUUGAAUGCACCCCAGUCUUCUGCAAAAUCCAUCAGUGUCAACAUUUUGUAUGAUUUCAUUUCCAGCUAUUAUUGUGCUUUCACCUUGGUGUAUGCCUACAGGGGCAACAAAAGAACACACAUUUAGGUCAAAUGACACAUUUAACCAUCCUGUAACCCAAGUCUUCUCUAUCAUUAUAUAAACUUAUCUUUAGGGCUUUUUCCACCGCUAGAAGUUUUGGAACCAAAAAACUGGAACUGUGCUUUUUCCUGUUUUACUGUUACAUUUUUAUUACUGUUACAUUAUUAAAGGUUUCAGUUAUAUGGUUUUGGGUACCUGGUCAAAACUGCAGCAGUAUUUGUUGUUGAUUGGUUAGGAAUACCACAUCAUUCAGCUCCAUAUACUGUACAUUAACACAGUGCUGUCGUUAUUAAAAGAAUAUUGCAGAGGACUGCAUUUUUAUUCACUGCAAAAAUGUGUGACGUGAGGUUAUCUUGAGGUUAUUAUGAGGUCAUUAUAUAACAAAUGCAAGAACAUUAAUCCAAUUUCUAGCCAUAUUUAUUAAUUCCAAGCUUAAAAGUUUCUUAUUCUAGAAAUAAACACUUGAAGUGAGCAAAAUUAUCUGGCAAUAGAACAAGACAAUUUCAAGCACUGUUUAACAACAAUCUUAUAAAGAGAAAUAGUUGAAUUUGCCUAUAUUCAAGAUAUUUUUACUUGCUGUGUUUUUGCAGUGUCGUUUGAAAUUGGAGAAAAUAGCACUAUGAACCAAUGAAAAGAUGCAGGCAUGAUUUUAAUUUCUUCCAUUGAAGUUGGUUAACCUGACAGAGAAUAAAGUUAAUCCAAUCAUUUGUUUAAUACUGAAAAAUUACGUAAGCGCACUGUGUUCUGUGAUGACAUCAUUACAUGCCAAAAUGAUGGUGUGAUGGAUAACUGACACAACUCAAGACAGUGGACCCAGGGACACUAAGCAUGGUUGCUUUCCAGCAUCUUUUUUUCCACGCUCUCACACACAUGUGCAGCUUGCUGAGAGAGAGCGAGAGACAGAGAAAGAGAGAGAGAGCUUUUUUAUUAACAGCUUGUUAAUAUAAGCUACCAAUAAUAAGCUCCAGGUGUUCCAGAGUAACUGGCCAUACCCCAGAACUUCCGCUGCAGACUUACUCUAAACCACGCCACCACCUGCCACAGAUGGCAUCAUCACUUUUGCUGUUGUUGCUAUGUUGUCACCAGCUGUCUACCAAUUUGGAGAGAACUCGAAUAAGAUCCAAUAGUCACAUUAGUGGCCGUUUCUUGCUUAUGAGUGGCAAUCAAAACACCUUGGUUCAGCAGGGUUUGAGUCUCCUUUCAGACCUGUUACGACAGCUACAUAGAUCUAGGUGUUUGAGUAGGACUGAGAUCGUGUCAUUGAGAUGUGUAGGGAAUCAUAACUGACACUUCAGACUGAAAUUCCAUCUGGGUGGGAUAUUUGAGUUUCACCUCUAACAAUGGCUUGCUCCUCCCUCUUGCUCUGCUUCUACAGGUGACUGACAGGUAUGAGUGCCUGCAGGGGUGAUGGGCAGGACAUGACCAAGGUGGAGCCACAGACUUAUGUGAGAUUCUGUUGUUAUUGCCUCCACUGACAGAUAGAUAAUGUCAUUACAGUGCUGUAGUUCCACCCAAGCUAUGCAGCUCCUUCAGAGCAUGAUAGUGUGAAAGACAUGCCUGCUAUAUGGUGCACUUUUUACCUGCAGUGUUAAUUUACUGCUGCCAAUUUACUGGUAUUUUCUAGAAUACCAUACCAUGUAGUAUAUGUCUGUAUAUCUAAGAGUGAGAUUACAUGAUGAAACAUUAUUUUUUCUUCAUAUUAUCAAAGAAUUGCUGGGUAUUAUCAAAGAAUGGGUAUUGGAAUAGCACUUUAUAUACUGUGUUACCCAUACUCAGUAUCAGUGGUGGCUGGUGCUAUGGCUAGGUGGUGAACUAACCUUAAUAUUUGAUGCUUGUGCAUUCUACAUCAAAAAGCUUUAUUUAGUUUAAGUGUGCUUUCACUUGGGACCAGUGCAAAAUAUUAUAAUAGUAGUAGCUAAAUAUUACUCAAAUAAGUUCCCUUUAUUAACACCAAAUUUUCCUUCAUGAUAUUUUCCCAAAGCAUUCUGUGUAGAACCCUACAGCAGAUGAUUUCCCUUUCAUAAAAACGUCCAAGUAGUGACCAUUCAGAAAACUAAAACCAUUAAACCUGUCAAGAACCCUUGAGGAACCAUUCCUAGAAAAAUAUGUAAGCUAUAUAAGCUACUGUGGCCACCAGAAUUAUUGACACCCUUCAUGAUGAUCGAAAGUCAAUAUAAAAAAAGAAUAAUACAUGCUUGUUAUUUUGAGCUCAAACAUACAGGGACAUUAAAUACCAGCACCCUGACAAUAUAUUUUGCAGUGAUUUACUGUAGAUGUAUUACAAUACAUACAAUUACAAUAUAUCUCUGAUAUUUUUUUGAUGCCUCCCCUGGAGAGAUUAACAGCUCUCUUCUUGUAAUGUCUUCUUGUCUCUUCUUGUAAUGUCUAACAAAUUUGGAGACAUGUGUAGGUCCACUCCUCCAUGCAGAACAGUUUAAAGCUCCUUUUUAUUCUUAAGCUUAUGCAUGUGGACUUCCCUCUUCAAUUCCCUUAUUCAUUUGAACUAUUUCUCUCUCAUUGUUUUGUUGAAACCUCCUGGCAGAGGCGACCAGGGUUUGGCCUAAAAUAUCUUGGUAUUUCAGCAGAAUUCAUUCAUUCACAAGAGCCCUUUAACUAUCAGCCACAAAACAGCCCCAAAGCAUCACUGAUCCGCCUCUGUGUUUUACAGUGGUUCAGAUGCUUUUCCUUGUAAGCAGUUCCCUUUUGUCAGCAAAAAUACUGAUGUGUGGGUGACCGAAAGGUUUGAUUGUAGUCUCAUCUAACCACAAAACGUAAUGCCAGUUGUAGGUCUAAUGACGCUUGAUGAAGUUCAGGCACUGUAUGUUGUGAAAUGCUCUCAGGAAGGGCUUUUUUUUUUUUUUGCAAUGCUUCUGAACAGCUUGUUGUUAUGACAGAAUCAACUAAACUGCAGUUCUAAAUGUGUGAUCUUUGGGGUCUUUUCCACUCCUUCACCGUCCCCCUCACUAAAGAUGCAUACCACUGGCAUAUUUAAAUCUAUAAAGCAACCUUGUGUGAUAUCUUUUCCUAAAGAAAAAGACAAUCAUUUAUUUAAAUUAAUUUAUUUUCCUAUUGUUUCUUGAUGCACCAUCUGUGGUAGUCUAGCUAAUAAGCCAUUCUGAUUGGUUAUUACAAUAUGCCAAGGAAUCUCAUGGCUUACACUGUGAGUACUGGUAAAUAAAACAUGCAAAUCUAAACAUGCAAAUUUAUUAUUAGACUCCACUCAGAAUCUAAGUUUUUAUUUUCAUUAAUGAUGUUGUUAAUAGACUAAAAUUAUAACUUGGGAAAGUGAACAAGGAGCAAAUAUUUAAAAAGCUACUGAAACAAAGAAUUAGUAAAAAAAAAAAAAAAAAAAGACAGUGUUAUGAUUAAGAUAGAAUGUGAGAUAGUUAAAUACAAAGCUUUUUAGUGCACAUUAUUUGCAAGAGCCCAAAUCUGUACAAAAUAACAUCUUUCAAUAAAGUCUUGUGUUGCUUUCUGUGAAAAAUUACACACACCCUUCAUGUAUGUCUGACAUUUUUUAACACGUCACAAGUUUUUACACAACACAAAUUUUGGAGUUUGAGCUCAUAAUGAAGCAUUGCAAGGAAUGUCACUCUGAAGCCUUUAGCUAUCACCUUAUCAUAAUGUCCUGACUGGACAUGUUGAAACAAACUGCAACCGCAGUACGAAACCAGAGCAUAGGAAAUAUGAAUUGGGCAGUUUUUAAUACAUAAUACAUAAGAAAAACAUAUUGUUUUCUAUUCUUUAUAGCAUUUUAAUCCAUGCAAAUAUUUAAUUGUCAUGUUACAAGCAUGCACUGAUUUCACUUUGCAAAUCAAAACUGAUAAUUCGAGUGAAUGUUCCUUCUCCUUUUUGAAAACUUUCAUCUGCACUUGUUUUAUUGUUUUGUCCCAAGUGUGCAUUCUCUCUUCACAGAAUUAGAUUUGAAUCAGAUUUAUGUACAGCCACACUGAAACAAUUUCUUAUGAAAUGCUACAAUAUUUCUGGUCUUGCUGUUGUUUGCAGAUCAAAUUCAUGAGGUCAUGUGUAUUAAGUAGUCUUUUGGUUCAUGUGGACCUGCUCCUGGAGAUAGUGCAGUCUAGAUUGUGUGGUUCUAACCUGUCAGUUGUGCUAAUUGCUACUGAUUACCUAGAAAUCCCAGGUUUCACUUAUUUGUUUUAGUGAUUGAGGUUUCAGCAGAGCUUCUUCCUUUCUUUCAGGACUUCUGGAGCUAGUCUCUUCUCUUUCCAAUGGGAUGGACAUGGGAGUCCUGUUCUUUAUUCUCUGUUGAAGAAGAAGUUCUUGCAGUUCAUUUCUCAAUAUAUUGGUGGAUGUUGGAUGUAGCCACAUGGUAUUCACUCUAGACAUUUAUUCCCACUGAUAAGUACCUUGGUUCACCCAACACACCAUGUCUAAGACAGAUGGCAGGCUUCAGUUGCCCACUAGCAUUCAGAUCACUGUCAAUUGUGUUUAUAUUUACUCAGAAAAAAAAUUGCCAAAAUAAGACCAAAUUGCAGAUCAUGGGCUUCCAAAAGAAGCCCAAGCUUCCUGUUUCUCUGCUGGUUUUUGUAUUGGAUAUGAUGGGUUAUAUAAUAUGUGAGUGUGCUGAUGUCCAGGUUGCAGACAAACUGACCUCAUUUGAAACAUAAGGUCUUGUGCUGUGUCUGUAAAAAAGCUCAAGCUCCCUCACCCUAUGAUUGUUCAAACCCCACCCUGCUCCACAAAGUGAAAACUUCUAAGAAAAUAUGGUCAGUAUUGAUAUUGUUGGAUGGACUCCAAGGCUGAUGAAACGCUCCUCAACUAAUCCUGUAUUUAUAUAUAUAUAUAUAUAUAUAUAGCAUCAUAUGGCUGUGAGGUGAGAGGCACUCAGGUACCCCUUUAGCGACGUGUGAGGAAUGCCUGUGAAUGUCAGCACUGCACACAUGCCUGCUUGCUCUCUACUGAGCACUUGAGCCCAUGUUUAAAGGGCAAAUGCAGUGUGGAACUAGUCAUAGCAUGUUUUAGAAAUAGAAGGAAAUGUUUGUGCGUAUGUGUCUGUAUGAAUUGAGUGUGUAUGUGAGUUUCGUCAGAGAAAAUCUGUUUCUGGUUUAGUUUGAUUGAUUAAAUAUAGAAUUAGAUUUGUGUAAAAUCAUCUAAAAGAACUUUUCUGUUUGUGUGUUCAGUGAGUAGUUUGUGUGAGAAAUGUGACACUUAUGUAAGAAGAUGAAAUCCUAGCCUGAAAAGUUUAAGUGCAUAAUUGUGCUUUUGCAUGUGUGUGUGUGUGUGUGUGUGUACAUAUGUGUGUAGUGUUGUGUUUCAGCUUAUUGGAAAGAGCUUCGUCUGGCUCACUUGUUUGGGAUAAUUGUAUGCUGCCAUGGUCUGAGGUCCCUUCUCUGUCUCUCUGUGGCCAGAGCAACAUGAUCCACAUUUAGGACCAGUGUCCCAAAUUAUGGACUAGUGGACUGACUGGACCACCAGUUCUCAAUAAAGCUCACAGAACAGGUGACCAUGAAGCACCUGGCAUCAUCCGUGCUUAUUUUUUUGCCAUGGGCCCCUUUAACUGUACACCACAGACUCCCUCAUUGCAAAUUCAUUUUAUAAACAUAAUCAGAUUAUUAAUUUAUUAGACACAUUAAAUGUGUAGAAUAAUAUGUUGGGUAGUUAUUGGAACCAUUUUUAUUCCUGAACAUUCCACUCAUAGUGGAAACAAAUGUUGACAUUAUUUAUAGGCCUACUUGUAUUUGGAUUAAACCCAUUGCAGUGACCUGUCAAACAGGCUACUAAGACCUAUAAGAUAAAUAUAAUAAUAUUACUUAAUAACUUUGAUAAUGGUGGGUUGUGAUUUCCACUACUAUAAGAAAAAAAUGCAGAUCAGCUGGUUAUGCUUCCCCACUUUGAGAAGCAUUUUGUAGGGUGUAGUAAUGAACUCUCAUGAAUUAUUAACAAAACAAUGACAUUGUGUUUUGAAACCCCACAUAGAGACAGGUGGUAAGUUAAAGGAAAACAACAUGAGCAACCACAACAUCUUCAGUGCUCCUUGGCAUAGAUUACUGUAUACAAGUCUCUGGAACUGUAUAGGAGGAAUGAACAUCAUUUGUUCAAAGGAAAUUCCGUCGGUUGGUGAUUUUAUGAAGAUGGAGAGGGAGAGUGCUCUCAGUCCAAAAUCUCCUAUAGAUGUACACAUGGGUUGAGAGCAGAUGACUGUGGAGGCCAUAGCGUAAUAUUGACAUCAUUUUCAUACUCAAGAAACCAUUCUGUGAGCACUUCCUUCCUAGAAGACACCACUCCCAUCAGGAUAGAAAUAUUUCAUCAUAGGAUCGGUUAGAAUUAGAACUUUGUACUGAUGUGCAGUGACUCCCCUCUAUGUGGACUACACAAGCAAAAUGCUCCCAUAGCAAGAGAGGCACCAGUUUUACCUGUCUGUAUAUGGGGCAAAUAUAGUGAAAUGUUAUUUCUUUGACAAAGCAAAGAUGUGUGGAACAAUGUGGAACAGUGAACAAGCACAAAAAUAGGUAUCUGAAAGGGAGGACUGCUUGUGGAGCUACUUCAAGAGUCAUCAGUGUAAAAGACAUAUUGUGUUAUUAUUAGAAUGGGAAACAGACCUCAUGAACAAGUUAUUGUGGAAUGUAAGUGGUGACAGCAAAUUUUAAAAUGUAUUUUAUAUUGUCUGCCAAUUACUAGAUAUUACUCACUGCAGUGGUUUUGUUUCUGUAAUUAAUAUGACACCAGCUGAUGAAAGUUGAUUAGAGCUUGUGUGCUUUUUAUGCAUUAUUGGCAAUUAUUUUAAGAUUAAAAAACACAGUCUGGCACUUAGAGUCCCUGUCCUACCAUACUAGCAAUAUAAAUGCUAUUGCAUAUUUCAGUAAUUGUGUGUUCUGAAGAUAAUAUUAUCUUUCCCAACUUCUACUUCAUGUUCCACUUACAAACUAUAUAUCUUUAUCUCUGUUUUUCCCUAAGGGUUGAGCCCAAGGGUUAAAAUCAGUUGCAUAAGACAAGAUCAUGUUGCAGUGGUUUAGUGUCUCACUAAAGAGCUCUUAUAUUCCACUGAGGAUUAUAUACAUGGGUCAGUUCUUUUCGGUGCAAUACAGACCUGUAAAGCUGACAACUCUGCCAGUUUCCUGUAGACCUUUUCACCAACCUGACCCUGGAAGCUGGUCCUCACUUCUAAUUCUGAUACAUUGCUGUGUCUCUUUUGAGCCAUCCCAGGCCUGGAGCUCUUUGAAUGUCAUUGUGGAUGGCAGUUUGUUUCCAAUUAAUGACUAAAAGAGGGAAGAGGACAACUCAUAUGGGACUGCUUUAUCUCCUAUCCAAAUGUUUCUCUCUAAAUGGAAGCAGAUUGAAUUGUAUCUUCGAUCCGUUAUUCCUAAUGCAUGAAUGAUUCAAAUGCACAUGGAGGCCAGCAUGAUGCUUGAUUCUGGUCCACAACCCAGAGAAAGCAGUGAGACAUAGAUGCUGUUAUAUGGACUUGUUAUAUGGACUCUCUGCCCGAGUUCUUCUUCAGCAGUAUUUUAAAGCCAAGACCACUAGACGUCCAAAUAGUUUUCGCAGUUCAUUGGUGGUGAUUUGUGUUUAAGCAGUUAGGCACGGCCAUGCAAGCCAGAAGUUAUUUAUUCCUUCACUGUUGCCUUCCGCUCGCCAAUUCUACACAUUCAGCCUUUAAUGAAUAAAUCCCCAGAAAAGAGCUACCAGAGAGAAAUACUCUCAAAUGUGAUUAGUUGUGCUAAUAUUAGAUGUUAUUUCAAUCCAGUUGGUAGUAUAUUAUUUGUAUAUUAAUAUAUUAUUUUAAAUACUCUGCAUAAAUAUUCUGUGGAGUCUGAGACUCAUUUUCUACCUAGCAUUUUUGAGUGUUUUCUUGUGCCUGCAUAACUUGGCUGUCAAGUGGCAGCCAUGUUUGACAAGCAAUAACAUUGAAAAAGAAAAAAAAAUCCUGGGCGUGCAUCCCAUAGCAGACAGGUAUCAAUGCAGUACAGUGUUCUUUGAUUGCUUGUCUGGACUGGCAUGCUUGUUGCCAGGGGCAAAAGAGAAAAGAAGCAGGUGUGAUUGGAAAGAGUGACCCAUGGGGGAACUCUUUGGGGAGUUAAUUUUAACCUAUCGCUGAUCAUAUCUGCAACUGUCAGUCAAACCUAGUGCAUAUACUACACAAAAGCUUCGGUUGUCAUAUAUAUGUCAUUGCUUUGUUUUUAUUGCGAAUACUUU